UUAUUUUUUAGUGUACGGUACACAUAAACCUUUGAAGUUUAAAUAAUAAGUUCAAUUCUUAUAUUAAUAAA
rnacentral:tRNA from 1 species